rnacentral:pre_miRNA from 1 species
UAUAACAUUUAACUUUUCAUCUUAUUUAAAAUUUUUCUAUCAUCAGUAUUUCUAUUUUUAUUAGAUGAUAAAAUAUAAAUAGCACUUUAUAUGCGACUAUAUAAAAAAUUCAUAAAAAAUUUAAAUAAGAUGGGUAGUCAAGUGUUGGACA